UUUAGAAAGAAAGUAGAACUUCUAACCAAAAGAUUCAUAAAGAAUGAAUCAAGUACCAUUCGUGCAUUGCCUCUUCUCUUUGAAUGAAGAAGAGAGGGGCUUUGUAUAGACACCCUUGAGCCAUAUUCGUCGCCCUAGGCUCACCAUCAUUCUAUUUAUGGGUUCUAGCUACAAAGAACAUAUACAUGGAGCUAUGUCGACUUACGUACGUCUCGUUGACCAAACGAUUAGGUAUACCACGCCACGUAUCAUCCCCUCUUUCCAUAGAAGAAAAAAAAAGCAUUUUUUUUUUUCGAAAAGUCUCAACGUCCUCGCUCUGCGAAACGCCCAGUAGUCUCUGACUUGGUCUUCGAAUCGUAAGUUUCAGCCCGUUCCCAGUUUGCCUCGCUCUCAGGUUGGCCCUUCUACUUGACUAAGUAGUAUUCCACUCGUGCAGUGGGUGUAUGGGCUAGCCCAUGGUGCGGUCAGCUAUGAUAUACUCAACUUCUUCUUUAGUAGGUUCAUCUACAACAUCUGGUGGUGCCCUCGUGGGCACGUUCCUC
rnacentral:lncRNA from 1 species